GAUGAACGCUGGCGGCGUGCCUAAUACAUGCAAGUCGAGCGAACAGACGAGAGUGCUUGCCCUCUCUGACGUUAGCGGCGGACGGGUGAGUAACACGUGGGUAACCUACCUAUAAGACUGGGAUAACUUCGGGAAACCGGAGCUAAUACCGGAUAAUAUUUAGCUUCGCAUGAAGCAAUAGUGAAAGACGGUUCUGCUAUCACUUAUAGAUGGACCCGCGGUGUAUUAGCUAGUUGGUGAGGUAACGGCUCACCAAGGCAACGAUACAUAGCCGACCUGAGAGGGUGAUCGGCCACACUGGGACUGAGACACGGCCCAGACUCCUACGGGAGGCAGCAGUAGGGAAUCUUCCGCAAUGGACGAAAGUCUGACGGAGCAAUGCCGCGUGAGUGAAGAAGGUUUUCGGAUCGUAAAACUCUGUUGUAAGGGAAGAACAAGUACGUUAGUAACUGAACGUACCUUGACGGUACCUUACCAGAAAGCCACGGCUAACUACGUG
rnacentral:rRNA from 1 species